GUGGGGAAUAUUGCGCAAUGGACGAAAGUCUGACGCAGCGACGCCGCGUGAGGGAUGAAGGUUUUCGGAUCGUAAACCUCUGUCAGGAGGGAAGAAAGCGCAUGGCGCCAAUCAGCCAUGCGUUGACGGUACCUCCAAAGGAAGCGCCGGCUAACUCCGUGCCAGCAGCCGCGGUAAUACGGAGGGCGCGAGCGUUAAUCGGAAUUACUGGGCGUAAAGCGCGCGUAGGCUGUUGUGUAAGUUGGGGGUGAAAUCCCACGGCUCAACCGUGGAACAGCCCUUGAUACUGCGCGACUUGAAUCCGGGAGAGGGUGGCGGAAUUCCAGGUGUAGGAGUGAAAUCCGUAGAUAUCUGGAGGAACAUCAGUGGCGAAGGCGGCCACCUGGACCGGUAUUGACGCUGAGGCGCGAAAGCGUGGGGAGCAAACAGG
rnacentral:rRNA from 1 species